UAUUUGCGUGAAGCCUUAAGGAUCUGGGGCAUGAUGGAGUUUGUUUACAUGGGGGCUGUAUGCUGCUUCGGUUUCUUUUAUUUUAAUAAGUUGCUGAGAUCGGAUUUGCCUGUCAUUCAGCCAUUUGGCUUCUAAUCGCGCUUAAUGAAAGAUUUAUCUUCAUGCUAAUUGGAGAUGAAAGAUCCUCGUUCAGCCAUGAUCCUGCCUCAAAUGUCAGGACCGAACCAGAAAGGAACUACAGCCAACCAAUCAAGUUGCAGCAUCAACAUGACCAGUCGGGCUGCAGUGUCAAAUUGACCAAUCGGGCAGCAGCCUGAACUUGCUGUACAGAUUUAUGAUGAUGUGAUUCUCUGUACCACUUCUCCAUGAUGGCCUACAGCAGUGCAGUGCUGGAGUAACUAAAGUUGAUUAAAGCUUCUUAAAUACUGCCAGAACGAAGGGUAAAGCCCUGGUACAGGUUUGUUCCCCAAGUGGAGUGUGUUAAGGACUCUUGGUAUCCAGCAUUUCACAGGAGAUACCCCCCGAGCUACAAAUGCUGCCACAGCUUCGAUCUCACUGCUUUGUUUGUGGUGCUGCGGCCUUGUCCAUUAACAGACUGUCACGGGUCGCAGAUAAGGAGUCACUAAAGGUAAAUGUUGCUAUGCUGGCUUAUGUACUGUUUUACUCACAUUGAAAACACAACCUGCAUAGCUAAAUAUUUUAAAGGGGUUUAUUCCUCCCAAAAUAAUGCAUCUAUGUGUGUUUCACUCUGAUUAUGGAGCCUGGGUCGAACCCCUCCCCCACUUCUGAAUGGUCCGUCCCAAAGCAUGGCAACACAAGUUGUUUCAUUUGUAAAUUUCUUAUGUUCUUAUCUUCUUUUGGCUUUUAACCCUCGUUUCUCUCUCCAUUCAUUUCUUUGAAGGGGGUCGUUGUCCCAAACGUCACAUACUGUGUCAGUUUCGGAGUUGCAGAGAAUCUGAGCUUGGCACAGACGCCUGAACACAAACCACCUUCCAGACCUGGUUACUGCCAGCUUUUGAUGAGCUCUCCCUGAUCCAAAACCCAGAGGGCAGGUUUGGUUUGACGGGGCCUCAGCCAUCAUGUUUUCUGUGCUUGUGUGACACCGCUUGGAACCAUCAUUCUUGCACAGGUGCCAGCGGUUGGCUGGAUCCGAAAGGCUCGUCGUGGUGCAGCAAGAUUUGUGAACCAUAAGUGUUUUGUGGAAAAUGCUUCAGCUUAAGUUCUCUGGUGCUUCUUUGGUGGUUUUACAAUUUUAUCUGCAAUUGUUACGCAAUCGACCCUGAGGGUUUCUGCAGAAGGAAAACACACCAAUUGCUCCUCUUCUCCACUCUCAAAUACAGUACAUGCACCUUUCCACUAGAUCCUACAGGGAACUUUAGUGCAUUGAGGUGCACAUACAUCUUCAGACUUCCCAGGAUCGUUAAUGUCUGUAUUCAGUAAUCAUGAGCCUGUGUUUUACUGUAUGUCUAAAAGGUCUGAAAUUAAAUAUUUAUUUCCCAAUCUAAUAUAAUCUAAUCAGUUGUUACUCAUCAAUCAUUCAUCCUUUAUCGAAAUGGCGUUUGCUGCCAGAGCAUGUAGAUUUGUUGAUCAUC